AUUCUUGUGUUUGGAACAAUGACGCAGCUAGUGAAGUACUAACCGAAGCGCGUCUAUUACGGUUGAAAACUAUUUCCAAACCUCAUUUUUCGGCCUGGGCACUGACUAGACUGUAGAGAAUUUAUGGAAUAGCUCCCUA
rnacentral:snRNA from 1 species